rnacentral:rRNA from 1 species
GAUGAACGCUGACAGAAUGCUUAACACAUGCAAGUCGAUGGGGAAGUGGUGCUUGCACCAUGGCAACCAUGGCGGACGGGUGAGUAACGCGUAAGGGACUUACCUGCAGGACUGGGAUAACAGGGGGAAACUCCUGACAAGACCGGAUAAUGUCAUGGAGCUGCAUGGCUUUAUGAUGAAAGGAGACGCCUGCGGAGAGUCUUGCGUCCUAUUAGCUAGUUGGUGAGGUAAUGGCUCACCAAGGCGAAGAUAGGUAGUCGGCCUGAGGGGGUGGACGGCCACAAGGUGACUGAGAGACGGCCCUUACUCCUACGGGAGGCAGCAGUGGGGAAUAUUGGACAAUGGGGGCAACCCUGAUCCAGCAAUUCUGUGUGCACGAAGAAGGUUUUCGGAGUGUAAAGUGCUUUCAGCAGGGAAGAAGUAAGUGACGGUACCUGCAGAAGAAGCGACGGCUAAAUACGUG